rnacentral:rRNA from 1 species
GACGAACGCUGGCGGCGUGCCUAAUACAUGCAAGUUGAGCGCUGAAGGUUGGUACUUGUACCAACUGGAUGAGCAGCGAACGGGUGAGUAACGCGUGGGGAAUCUGCCUUUGAGCGGGGGACAACAUUUGGAAACGAAUGCUAAUACCGCAUAAAAACUUUAAACACAAGUUUUAAGUUUGAAAGAUGCAAUUGCAUCACUCAAAGAUGAUCCCGCGCUGUAUUAGCUAGUUGGUGAGGUAAAGGCUCACCAAGGCGAUGAUACAUAGCCGACCUGAGAGGGUGAUCGGCCACAGUGGGACUGAGACACGGCCCAAACUCCUACGGGAGGCAGCAGUAGGGAAUCUUCGGCAAUGGACGAAAGUCUGACCGAGCAACGCCGCGUGAGUGAAGAAGGUUGUCGGAUCGUAAAACUCUGUUGGUAGAGAAGAACGUUGGUGAGAGUGGAAAGCUCAUCAAGUGACGGUAACUACCCAGAAAGGGACGGCUAACUACGUG